GAUGAACGCUGGCGGCGUGCCUAAUACAUGCAAGUCGAGCGAAUGGAUAAAGAGCUUGCUCUUAUGAAGUUAGCGGCGGACGGGUGAGUAACACGUGGGUAACCUGCCCAUAAGACUGGGAUAACUCCGGGAAACCGGGGCUAAUACCGGAUAACAUUUUGAACCGCAUGGUUCGAAAUUGAAAGGCGGCUUCGGCUGUCAUUUAUGGAUGGACCCGCGUCGCAUUAGCUAGUUGGUGAGGUAACGGCUCACCAAGGCAACGAUGCGUAGCCGACAUGAGAGGGGGAUCGGCCACACUGGGACUGGAACACGGCCCAGAGUCCUGCGGGAGGCAGCAGUAGGGAAUCUUCCGCAAUGGACGAAAGUCUGACGGAGCAACGCCGCGUGAGUGAUGAAGGCUUUCGGGUCGUAAAACUCUGUUGUUAGGGAAGAACAAGUGCUAGUUGAAUAAGCUGACACCUUGACGGUACCUAACCAGAAAGCCACGGCUAACUACGUGCCAGCCGCCGCCGUAA
rnacentral:rRNA from 1 species